rnacentral:rRNA from 1 species
CCUACGGGAGGCAGCAGUGGGGAAUAUUGGGCAAUGGUCGCAAGCCUGACCCAGCAACGCCGCGUGAAGGAAGAAGGCUUUCGGGUUGUAAACUUCUUUUCUGAGGGACGAAGAAAGUGACGGUACCCCCGGAAUAAGCCACGGCUACCUACGUGCCAGCAGCCGCGGUAAUACGUAGGGGGCAAGCGUUAUCCGGAGUUACUGGGUGUAAAGGGCGGGUAGGCGGGAAAGCAAGUCAGAAGUGAAAAACCAGGGCUCAACCCUGAUCCUGCAUGUGAAACUGUUGUGCUUGAGUGCUGGAGAGGUAAUCGGAAUUCCUGGUGUAGCGGUGGAAUGCGUAGAUAUACGGAGGAACACCAGUGGCGAAGGCGGAUUACUGGACAGUAACUGACGCUGAGGCGCGAAAGCGUGGGGAGCAAACAGGAUUAGAUACCCUGGUAGUC